AACGAACGCUGGCGGCAGGCUUAACACAUGCAAGUCGAACGCCCCGCAAGGGGAGUGGCAGACGGGUGAGUAACGCGUGGGAAUCUACCCAUCUCUACGGAACAACUCCGGGAAACUGGAGCUAAUACCGUAUACGCCCUUCGGGGGAAAGAUUUAUCGGAGAUGGAUGAGCACGCGUUGGAUUAGCUAGUUGGUGGGGUAAAAGCCUACCAAGGCGACGAUCCAUAGCUGGUCUGAGAGGAUGAUCAGCCACAUUGGGACUGAGACACGGCCCAAACUCCUACGGGAGGCAGCAGUGGGGAAUAUUGGACAAUGGGCGAAAGCCUGAUCCAGCCAUGCCGCGUGAGUGAUGAAGGCCCUAGGGUUGUAAAGCUCUUUCACCGAUGAAGAUAAUGACGGUAGUCGGAGAAGAAGCCCCGGCUAACUUCGUGCCAGCCGCCGCAGUAAUAC
rnacentral:rRNA from 1 species